AAAGGAAUUGACGGGGGCCCGCACAAGCAGCGGAGCAUGUUGUUUAAUUCGACGCAACGCGAAGAACCUUACCAGGGCUUGACAUCCAACGAAUUUUCUGGAAACAGAGAAGUGCCCUUCGGGGAACGUUGAGACAGGUGGUGCAUGGUUGUCGUCAGCUCGUGUCGUGAGAUGUUGGGUUAAGUCCCGCAACGAGCGCAACCCUUAUUGUCAGUUGCCAGCACGUAAAGGUGGGAACUCUGACGAGACUGCCGUGGAUAACACGGAGGAAGGUGGGGACGACGUCAAAUCAUCAUGCUCCUUAUGUCCUGGGCUACAAACGUGCUACAAUGGCCGUUACAAAGGGAAGCGAACCUGCGAGGGUAAGCGGAACCGAAAAAAGCGGUCUCAGUUCGGAUUGUGGGCUGCAACCCGCCCACAUGAAGUCGGAGUUGCUAGUAAUCGCGAAUCAGAAUGUCGCGGUGAAUGCGUUCCCGGGCCUUGUACACACCGCCCGU
rnacentral:rRNA from 1 species